AGUGAACGCUGGCGGUAGGCAUAACACAUGCAAGUCGAACGGCAGCACAGUAAGAGCUUGCUCUUACGGGUGGCGAGUGGCGGACGGGUGAGGAAUACAUCGGAAUCUACUUUUUCGUGGGGGAUAACGUAGGGAAACUUACGCUAAUACCGCAUACGACCUACGGGUGAAAGCAGGGGAUCUUCGGACCUUGCGCGAUUGAAUGAGCCGAUGUCGGAUUAGCUAGUUGGCGGGGUAAAGGCCCACCAAGGCGACGAUCCGUAGCUGGUCUGAGAGGAUGAUCAGCCACACUGGAACUGAGACACAGUCCAGACUCCUACGGGAGGCAGCAGUGGGGAAUAUUGGACAAUGGGCGCAAGCCUGAUCCAGCCAUACCGCGUGGGUGAAGAAGGCCUUCGGGUUGUAAAGCCCUUUUGUUGGGAAAGAAAAGCAGCAGGUUAAUACCCCGCUGUUCUGACGGUACCAAAAGAAUAAGCACCGGCUAACUUCGUG
rnacentral:rRNA from 1 species